AACUCGUCGUAUAUAAAGAAAGGCAGUUGGGAGAAGAAGAAAAGUUGAAAAGAAAGAGAAAAAUGGAGGUUGAGAGAGUGCAGUCUAUCGCUUCACAAUCGAAGCUAGCAAACAUCAUCCCUUCCCAAUUCAUCCGGUCGGAAGACGAGCAGCCGGCGGCGACCACCCUGCAGGGGGUGGUGCUGGAGGUUCCGGUGAUCGACCUCGGCGGCGGCGACAUUGAUGAUAAGACUAGGAGAUUGAUAAGCGAAGCAAGCAGCGAUUGGGGGAUCUUCCAAGUGGUGAACCAUGGAAUCCCCGAUGAAGUCAUAGCCAAAUUGCAACGAGUUGGGAGAGAAUUCUUUGAGCUUCCAGAAGAAGAGAAGGAGUUGAUUGCUAAAACACCAGAUUCUGGAAUCCAAGGCUAUGGAACUAGCUUGCAGAAAGAGGUUCAAGCCAAGAAAGCUUGGGUUGAUCAUUUGUUCCACAUUAUAUGGCCACCUGCAGCUAUCAACUACAACUUUUGGCCUCAAAACCCACCUUCUUACAGAGAAGCAAAUGAGGAGUACGCGGAGAAGCUUCUAGAGGUUUCGGAGAAGCUGAUGAAGUGGUUGUCGCUAGGGUUAGGGCUGGAGGAGGGGGAGCUGAAGGCGGCUAUGGGCGGCGAAGACGUGGCUUAUCUGAUGAAGAUAAACUACUACCCGCCGUGUCCCCGGCCGGACCUUGCGCUCGGGGUGGUGGCCCACACCGACAUGUCGGCGAUCACGAUCCUCGUACCCAACCAAGUUCAAGGCCUCCAAGUCUUCAGGGAUGAGCACUGGUACGAUGUCAAGUAUAUACCUAAUGCCCUCAUCGUACACAUUGGCGACCAAAUUGAGGUAAUUCAAAUCAUCUUUUUUAAAUUUAUUUCUCCAAAAAUAAUAAAAUUGGAAUAAUGACUCGGUUUGUGAUUUACUGUUGAAUGUGCCACGAUCGAAUACAAUAAAGUUUUUUAGACGGAAUUAGUUUGUUUUUACCAAAAUUGUGAUUUGAAACAUCUUUUCGUGUGCGUUUUGAAGUUUGUCACAAUUAUAUAUGUCAUUUACUUGUGAUUGUAUAAUGAUAAAAGGUAGGUGCAAAUUAAAUGAAGUUCACAUACGUAAUAGUGUCGACAGUUGUUGGAGUUGUUUUUUUAUUGAUUUUGGUAUUUGGCAGAUACUAAGCAAUGGGAAAUACAAGGCUGUGUAUCACAGGAGUACAGUAAACAAGGAGAGUACUAGAAUGUCUUGGCCUGUGUUUGUGGAGCCACCUCAGGAUUUUGAAUUGGGGCCAAUUCCAAAGCUUGUGAAUCAACAAAAUCCACCAAAAUACAAGACCAAGAAGUAUAAAGAUUAUGCUUAUUGCAAGCUUAACAAGAUUCCUCAGUGAUUUUGUCACUCUACCCACCAAACAAAUAAGAGCUGUUGUAUUUGGAAUCAAAACGCUGUGUUUUAAUGCAUAGGCAUAGCAGCCUCUGCUGUGAUUCCCAUCAAUUUCAAAUAGGGGGAAGCUUCAAUUUUUGUCUAAAA